UAGGGAAUCUUCCGCAAUGGGCGAAAGCCUGACGGAGCAAUGCCGCGUGAGUGAAGAAGGCCUUCGGGUCGUAAAACUCUGUUAUAAGAGAAGAACAAAUUGUAGAGUAACUGCUACAGUCUUGACGGUAUCUUAUCAGAAAGCCACGGCUAACUACGUGCCAGCAGCCGCGGUAAUACGUAGGUGGCAAGCGUUGUCCGGAUUUAUUGGGCGUAAAGGGAGCGCAGGUGGUUUCUUAAGUCUGAUGUGAAAGCCCACGGCUUAACCGUGGAGGGUCAUUGGAAACUGGGAAACUUGAGUACAGAAGAGGAAUGUGGAACUCCAUGUGUAGCGGUGGAAUGCGUAGAUAUAUGGAAGAACACCAGUGGCGAAGGCGACAUUCUGGUCUGUUACUGACACUGAGGCACGAAAGCGUGGGGAGCAAACAGG
rnacentral:rRNA from 1 species